CCUACGGGAGGCAGCAGUGAGGAAUAUUGGUCAAUGGACGAGAGUCUGAACCAGCCAAGUAGCGUGAAGGAUGACUGCCCUAUGGGUUGUAAACUUCUUUUAUAAAGGAAUAAAACGAGGCACGUGUGCCUUUUUGCAUGUACUUUAUGAAUAAGGAUCGGCUAACUCCGUGCCAGCAGCCGCGGUAAUACGGAGGAUCCGAGCGUUAUCCGGAUUUAUUUGGUUUAAAGGGAGCGUAGAUGGGUUGUUAAGUCAGUUGUGAAAGUUUGCGGCUCAACCGUAAAAUUGCAAUUGAGACUGGCAGUCUUGAGUACAGUUGAGGUAGGCGGAAUUCGUGGUGUAGCGGUGAAAUGCUUAGAUAUCACGAAGAACCCCGAUUGCGAAGGCAGCUUACUAAACUGUGACUGACAUUGAUGCUCGAAAGUGUGGGUAUCAAACAGGAUUAGAUACCCCUGUAGUC
rnacentral:rRNA from 1 species